rnacentral:snRNA from 1 species
GUCUUGGUUCUCAGCACAUAUACUUAAGUUGGAAAGAUACAGAGAAGAUUAGCAUGGCCACUGCACAA